UACGGGGGGGCGAAGCGUGUUCGGAAUUACUGGGCGUAAAGGGCUCGUAGGCGGCCAACUAAGUCAGACGUGGAAAUCCCUCGGCUUAACCGGGGAACUGCGUCUGAUACUGGAUGGCUUGAGUUCGGGAGAGGGAUGUGGAAUUCCAGGUGAGCGGUGAAAUGCGUAGAGAUCGGGAGGAACACCAGUGGCGAAGGCGGCUCGCUGGGCCGGUCCUGACACUGAGGCGCGAAGGCGUGGGGAGCGAACGGG
rnacentral:rRNA from 1 species